GCAGACACAUUCCAGCCAAUCAGCAGCAGACCCUCCCUCCCAGACCCUCCCACCUCUUGGACAGCAUCCAUUGUGAAGCUGCAUUCUUAGUGAGCUGUCCAGGAGGUGGGAGGGUAUGGGAGGGAGGGUCUGCUGAUGAUUGGCUGGAAUGUGUCUG
rnacentral:miRNA from 1 species